rfam:Chelonia mydas contig199985, whole genome shotgun sequence.
GUCUUCCUUCCACAGCGCAUGUACUGACAUUGGAAUGAUACAGAGUAGAUUAGCGUGGCCCCUGCGCAAGGAUGAGAUGCAAAUUUGUGAUGCGUUUCCAUGCCUG